GCAAAAGUCAGGCAUACUAGAAGGAAGCUCUGAUUUAGUGAAUAAUGGACCGUUAAGUAAAGAUGGUAAUAGAAAUGCAUAUUAAUAAAGCUCUGGAGGCUGAGAAUCUCAAGAGUGAGGGGCCAGCAUCUGAUAAGGGCCUUCCUGCUGCAUCAUCCCAUGGCUGUAGGGCAAAGAGUGGGCAAGAGAAAGAGAAAGAGAGAGUGAGUGCACGCAACAGGAAAGUGGGCCAAAUUCACUCUUCUAUCAGGAAGCCACUCCUGGAUAACUAACCCACUCCAGUGAUAAUGGCAUUAAUCCAUUCAUAAGGGCAGACCCCUCAUGACCUAAUCAUUUCUUAAAGGCCCUAUCUCUCAACACUAUUGCAAUAGAUUAUGUUUCCAACACAUGGACUUUGUGGGCACAAAAACCAUAGCACCUCCCAUUUAUCAAUGGUUUAUUUCAGUACACCAGAAUGGAUCAGACAGCUUCUAAAGCCAUCCCACAUGCU
rnacentral:lncRNA from 1 species